CUGUACUUGCGGUAUCACGUAAGGAUCAUAUAUAUAUUUAUUACUUUUCAUUUUUAUCUUUCCACAACAAUACAACAAUGCAUCGCACGAGGUGACAACUAUCGAUGUAAUUUUAUUGAUAAGGUCCGGCUUGAAUUAUAUAAUCCAUACACAAGGAGGAAACACGGUCAGUGUUCAGUGGCCGUUAUAAUCCGUCCAUUGUGACGGACACAGUGAACGUUCGGAGCUCAAUUCCCUGUGAGGUAUGGCCCCAUAAACGAAGCGCAGCUAUAACCAUGUAAUAGAUAUCACGUAUCGAAUAUACGACCUUUCACCUCGGCACUCUCUGCUUCUCUUCGACAUCGAUCUCAUCCGAUAGCCACUUCCGAAAGCAGUAGGCUGAGAAUACUUACUAACCCAGUCAAAGAAAUUGCUCGUUCCAUUGAAAUUCCAUGCGAACGGCAAGGAAGGUAGAGCUGUAAAAAAAAUUGCAUGGAAUUCUCAAGGAUGCAUUAAAAAUUUAGAUUGAUUCAAAGUCUGGCAGUUGAAAUAAGCGAUUAGGAAGAUUAAAGGUCAAUAGAGAUUUAACGUGGGAAAAGUCUAUUUGAUGUUUUUGUAUACGUACAUUAUGUACCGAUAUCAAAUGUGCUGGAAAAUUGUACCUGCAUGCACACGGUAUUAUGGUGAAAUUGCAUAGUACACGGUACCACGGGAAUGCACGGGUGCUGGCUUCUAUGUGGACAUUUUCAGAAUCUGCUGUGAUUGCAGUUUGCUUAGUGUAAGAAUGUUCGACGGUGGCGUUUGGUUUGGUUACUUGCGCCACUGCGGGCAGAACGCUUUGGAAAAAGUUUCUGAACGAGUAUACGAGACUUUGUUCGUAAUGGUUCUUUGGAUAUAGGUAAGCAAGUACGUACCUCGAGUUCACAAUUUCGAUUGAGAGUUCAGGAACAGCGAUGUUUACUUUUUUGUUAGUUUUUCUUAGUAAUUCUCAUGUUCCAAUAGCUGAAAGAGGAAAAUUGCACUGCCUUAUCGAUAUGCAGAUUUUAAGCUAGCGCAAAGUGCAUCGGAUACAUGAAAAAUGCACUUUGACACGGAUGAAUUAUGUUCAUAUUUUAUCUUGACCUAUAGUAUCAUAUACCUAUAGUAUAUAUAUUUACCUAUCCCGUAAACAGGUCAUGCAUAAAACUCAAUCGGCCGAGACUCGAUGAUAUUAUAAAUCGCUCACACCUUAUAAUCUCUGUUAGGGUCCUGAGCACAUUGGCAACCUUUGACCCGGAUGGCUUCACUACAUUCCCCGUAUUCGCAAUUCAAUAGCCCCAAAACCAUAAAUAUGACCAUCCUAUCUCUCGCAGUGCAUUUCCGAAUUUCCUUAUAAUUCACAUUGAUGGCGCAGGAAAUAUCUAGCGAAUCACCCCAACCUGCAAGUUUCGGUGUCCAUUAAGACAGGGGUCAUGUGAAAUAAGAUGAAUCAUCCAAUUUGUCAUAAUGAGUGGAUCAGUGAAUCUUCAGGAUGAGAGCGCUUGGUCAUUAUGAAUUACGAAUGGCCUUGUAGGUGGAGUGGAGACGAAUUAAUUAAUUAAUCCUCAAAUCCGCUCUCAGUCGUUUGAUUAUAUCACAGCACCGUUAUCAUACAAUUACGUUAAAAUUUCAACGUUUGUCGAUCACCCACCUCAUCCGGUCGCUUUGUACUGCAGAGCGAUCGCACAUAAAUGAAUAAUUGGUGAAGCUUUGUGCAAA